CACGUAGGGGGCGAGCGUUGUCCGGAUUUAUUGGGCGUAAAGAGCUCGUAGGCGGCUCAGUAAGUCAGGUGUGAAAACUCCAGGCUCAACCUGGAGACGCCACCUGAUACUGCUGUGGCUAGAGUCCGGUAGGGGAGCAUGGAAUUCCUGGUGUAGCGGUGAAAUGCGCAGAUAUCAGGAGGAACACCAGUGGCGAAGGCGGUGCUCUGGGCCGGAACUGACGCUGAGGCACGAAAGCGUGGGUAGCAAACAGG
rnacentral:rRNA from 1 species